GACAGAGGGUGCAAACGUUGUUCGGAUUUACUGGGCGUAAAGCGCGUGUAGGCGGCUUUGCAAGUCGGAUGUGAAAGGCCCACGGCCUCAACCGUGGAAGUGCAUCCGAAACUGCAUGGCUUGGAGUCUCGGAGAGGAAGGUGGAAUGCUUGGUGUAGAGGUGAAAUUCGUAGAUAUCAAGCAGAACACCUGCGGCGAAGGCGGCCUUCUGGACGAUGACUGACGCUGGAGACGCGAAAGCGUGGGGAGCAAACAGG
rnacentral:rRNA from 1 species